rnacentral:rRNA from 1 species
GGCAGGUCUAACACAUGCAGUCGAGCGGUAGCACAGGGAGCUUGCUCUCGGGUGACGAGCGGCGGACGGGUGAGUAAUGUCUGGGAAACUGCCUGAUGGAGGGGGAUAACUACUGGAAACGGUAGCUAAUACCGCAUAACGUCGCAAGACCAAAGAGGGGGACCUUCGGGCCUCUUGCCAUCAGAUGUGCCCAGAUGGGAUUAGCUAGUAGGUGGGGUAACGGCUCACCUAGGCGACGAUCCCUAGCUGGUCUGAGAGGAUGACCAGCCACACUGGAACUGAGACACGGUCCAGACUCCUACGGGAGGCAGCAGUGGGGAAUAUUGCACAAUGGGCGCAAGCCUGAUGCAGCCAUGCCGCGUGUAUGAAGAAGGCCUUCGGGUUGUAAAGUACUUUCAGCGAGGAGGAAGGUGUUGAGGUUAAUAACCUCAGCAAUUGACGUUACUCGCAGAAGAAGCACCGGCUAACUCCGUGCCAGCAGCCGCGGUAAUACGGAGGGUGCAAGCGUUAAUCGGAAUUACUGGGCGUAAAGCGCACGCAGGCGGUCUGUCAAGUCGGAUGUGAAAUCCCCGGGCUCAACCUGGGAACUGCAUUCGAAACUGGCAGGCUAGAGUCUUGUAGAGGGGGGUAGAAUUCCAGGUGUAGCGGUGAAAUGCGUAGAGAUCUGGAGGAAUACCGGUGGCGAAGGCGGCCCCCUGGACAAAGACUGACGCUCAGGUGCGAAAGCGUGGGGAGCAAACAGGGAUUAGAUACCCUGGUAGUGCACGCCGUAAACGAUGUCGACUUGGAGGUUGUGCCCUUGAGGCGUGGCUUCCGGAGCUAACGCGUUAAGUCGACCGCCUGGGGAGUACGGCCGCAAGGUUAAAACUCAAAUGAAUUGACGGGGGCCCGCACAAGCGGUGGAGCAUGUGGUUUAAUUCGAUGCAACGCGAAGAACCUUACCUACUCUUGACAUCCAGAGAACUUAGCAGAGAUGCUUUGGUGCCUUCGGGAACUCUGAGACAGGUGCUGCAUGGCUGUCGUCAGCUCGUGUUGUGAAAUGUUGGGUUAAGUCCCGCAACGAGCGCAACCCUUAUCCUUUGUUGCCAGCGGUCCGGCCGGGAACUCAAAGGAGACUGCCAGUGAUAAACUGGAGGAAGGUGGGGAUGACGUCAAGUCAUCAUGGCCCUUACGAGUAGGGCUACACACGUGCUACAAUGGCGCAUACAAAGAGAAGCGACCUCGCGAGAGCAAGCGGACCUCAUAAAGUGCGUCGUAGUCCGGAUUGGAGUCUGCAACUCGACUCCAUGAAGUCGGAAUCGCUAGUAAUCGUAGAUCAGAAUGCUACGGUGAAUACGUUCCCGGGCCUUGUACACACCGCCCGUCACACCAUGGGAGUGGGUUGCAAAAGAAGUAGGUAGCUUAACCUUCGGGAGGGCGCUACC